rnacentral:rRNA from 1 species
AUUGAACGCUGGCGGCAUGCUUUACACAUGCAAGUCGAACGGUAACAGGCCGCAAGGUGCUGACGAGUGGCGAACGGGUGAGUAAUGCAUCGGAACGUGCCCAGUCGUGGGGGAUAACGCAGCGAAAGCUGCGCUAAUACCGCAUACGAUCUAUGGAUGAAAGCGGGGGACCGUAAGGCCUCGCGCGAUUGGAGCGGCCGAUGUCAGAUUAGGUAGUUGGUGGGGUAAAGGCCUACCAAGCCAACGAUCUGUAGCUGGUCUGAGAGGACGACCAGCCACACUGGGACUGAGACACGGCCCAGACUCCUACGGGAGGCAGCAGUGGGGAAUCUUGGACAAUGGGCGCAAGCCUGAUCCAGCAAUGCCGCGUGCAGGAAGAAGGCCUUCGGGUUGUAAACUGCUUUUGUACGGAACGAAACGGUCCGGGUUAAUACCCUGGGCUAAUGACGGUACCGUAAGAAUAAGCACCGGCUAACUACGUGCCAGCAGCCGCCGUAACAC